GAUGAACGCUGGCGGCGUGCCUAAUACAUGCAAGUCGAGCGAACAGACGAGGAGCUUGCUCCUCUGACGUUAGCGGCGGACGGGUGAGUAACACGUGGAUAACCUACCUAUAAGACUGGGAUAACUUCGGGAAACCGGAGCUAAUACCGGAUAAUAUAUUGAACCGCAUGGUUCAAUAGUGAAAGACGGUUUUGCUGUCACUUAUAGAUGGAUCCGCGCCGCAUUAGCUAGUUGGUAAGGUAACGGCUUACCAAGGCAACGAUGCGUAGCCGACCUGAGAGGGUGAUGGGCAACACUGGAACUUAGACAGGGUCGCGAAUCCUACGGGGGGCAGAAGGAGGCAAUCUUCCGCAAAGGGCGAAAGCCGAACGGAGCAAAGACGCGGGAGGAAGAAAGGUUUAAGUAUCUUAAAACUUUGUUAUGAGGGAAGAACAAAUGUGUAAGUAAAAAUGCGCGUCUUGACGGUACAUAAUCAGAAGGCCACGACUAACUACGUG
rnacentral:rRNA from 1 species